AUGGGGUUUAGUGCAUAUCAAAAGAUAUCGGUGGCAAUGCAGGUACUCGCUUAUGGCAUACCCGCGGAUUAUACCGACGAGUAUCUUCGCAUUGGGCAAGAUACAACCACGGAGUCCGUCCGUAGGUUUGCCAAGUUGGUCAUCCAGUUGUAUGGUGAGAAGUAUCUUCGGGCACCAAACGAGGAAGAUACAAAGAGAUUAAUGGAAAUGAAUGAAAAAAGGCGAUGGCCGCGGAUGCUUGGUAGUCUUGAUUGCAUGCAUUGGAGGUGA
rnacentral:rRNA from 1 species